rnacentral:rRNA from 1 species
UAAGCCUGUGAAGGUGGCCUGUGAGGGUUGCUGGAGGUAUCAGAAGUGCGAAUGCUGACAUAAGUAACGAUAAAGCGGGUGAAAAGCCCGCUCGCCGGAAGACCAAGGGUUCCUGUCCAACGUUAAUCGGGGCAGGGUGAGUCGACCCCUAAGGCGAGGCCGAAAGGCGUAGUCGAUGGGAAACGGGUUAAUAUUCCCGUACUUGGUGUUACUGCGAAGGGGGGACGGAGAAGGCUAUGUUGGCCGGGCGACGGUUGUCCCGGUUUAAGCG